rnacentral:rRNA from 1 species
UACGAAGGGGGCUAGCGUUGCUCGGAAUCACUGGGCGUAAAGCGCACGUAGGCGGCUUUUUAAGUCAGAGGUGAAAUCCUGGAGCUCAACUCCAGAACUGCCUUUGAUACUGAGAGGCUUGAGUCCGGGAGAGGUGAGUGGAACUGCGAGUGUAGAGGUGAAAUUCGUAGAUAUUCGCAAGAACACCAGUGGCGAAGGCGGCUCACUGGCCCGGUACUGACGCUGAGGUGCGAAAGCGUGGGAGCAACAGG